UAGACGUACUAGGGGAGCAAUUUGCUGAGAAGAGAUAUCUGACCCUUUGAACCUGAUCUAGGUGAUACUAGCGUAGGGAAGUGCCAAUAUAUGAUG
rnacentral:ncRNA from 2 species